UAAUGCCUAGAAUGUUCGUACACGCCUAAAAUUCAACCUACAGAAGAUAUCCGGGAGUUCGGGUUCCUUUGCGGAUGAUAUGCCACCGGAGCGUGGACAUCAGAAGUAAAGGAUAGGACACCCACCUAGUUGAUAGGGGGUGUGAAUUCUUAGGCGUACGGCAUUCCGGGCAAAGA
rnacentral:other from 1 species